rnacentral:lncRNA from 1 species
AGGCUGCCAAGAUGGAGAAGAGGGCAGAGGCCUCCACCGAAGCUUUGAGGAAAGUGAAAGUUGAACUAGUUUUCGAGAGGGAGAGGCGACAGGAGAUGGCCUCGAAAGCUGUCGAGGCUGAGAGGAGGGCAGACGAGUGGGUUGCCAAGGCCGGCCGUCUUACAGUGGAGGCAUUCAAAAUUUUUGAGGAAUUCAAAGAUAUGAAGG